CCUACGGGGGGCAGCAGUGAGGAAUAUUGGUCAAUGGGCGCUAGCCUGAACCAGCCAAGUAGCGUGAAGGAUGACUGCCCUAUGGGUUGUAAACUUCUUUUAUAUGGGAAUAAAGUGCAGUAUGUAUACUGCUUUGCAUGUACCUUAUGAAUAAGGAUCGGCUAACUCCGUGCCAGCAGCCGCGGUAAUACGGAGGAUUCGAGCGUUAUCCGGAUUUAUUGGGUUUAAAGGGAGCGUAGGCGGGUUGUUAAGUCAGUUGUGAAAGUUUGCGGCUCAACCGUAAAAUUGCAGUUGAUACUGGGCUCAGUGAGUACAGUAGAGGUAGGCGGAAUUCGUGGGGUAGCGGUGAAAUGCGUAGAGAUCGCGAGGAACAACGAUGGCGAAGGCGGCCUGCUGGACUGUAACUGACGCUGAUGCUCGAAAGUGUGGGUAUCAAACAGGAUUAGAUACACCUGGAGUC
rnacentral:rRNA from 1 species